CGCACAGCAAAUCCUAUUCCUACCUCCGCGUGGCACUGGCUGGGCUGCGAGCAACUUUAGAGAAAAUCGGGUAACCAACUUUGGUCGUAGGCUGACAGGGAAGU
rnacentral:ribozyme from 1 species